rnacentral:lncRNA from 1 species
UAACUUACUCCAAUAUUUUUAUGAAUUGUUUGUUGAACCAGCUGAUGCAUCUCUUGAUUUUGAUAUAUAUAAUUGAAGAGCUCCUUGAGUCGUGUAAAGAAAAUAACGGGAUGGUAGUAUAUGAUGAAGCAAAAUUAGGAUACCUCCGAGCCAUUUGAGAGAAUAUGUCUAUUUUGUGAUUUCAUUGUAGUGAAGAAAUGGGAAGUUACUCCAAAACCAGAUCCCC